UACGGAGGAUGCAAGCGUUAUCCGGAAUGAUUGGGCGUAAAGCGCGUGUAGGCGGUCCGGUAAGUCCGCUGUGAAAGUCGAGGGCUCAACCCUCGAAUGCCGGUGGAUACUGUCGGGCUAGAGUACGGAAGAGGCGAGUGGAAUUCCUGGUGUAGCGGUGAAAUGCGCAGAUAUCAGGAGGAACACCAAUUGCGAAGGCAGCUCGCUGGGACGUUACUGACGCUGAGACGCGAAAGCGUGGGGAGCAAACAGG
rnacentral:rRNA from 1 species